UAACCGCUGAAAGCAUCUAAGCGGGAAACUUGCCUCAAGAUGAGAUCUCACUGGAGCCUUGAGCUCCCUGAAGGGCCGUCGAAGACUACGACGUUGAUAGGCAGGGUGUGUAAGCGCUGUGAGGCGUUGAGCUAACCUGUACUAAUUGCCCGUGAGGCUUGACCAUAUAACACCCAAGCAAUU
rnacentral:rRNA from 1 species